CUACGGGCUGCACCAGUGGGGAAUAUUGCACAAUGGAGGAAACUCUGAUGCAGCAACGCCGCGUGGAGGAUGACACUUUUCGGAGCGUAAACUCCUUUUAUAUAGGAAGAAGAUGACGGUACUAUAUGAAUAAGCGCCGGCUAACUCCGUGCCAGCAGCCGCGGUAAUACGGAGGGCGCAAGCGUUACUCGGAAUCACUGGGCGUAAAGAGCGUGUAGGCGGAUUAAAAAGUCAGAAGUGAAAUCCUAUAGCUUAACUAUAGAACUGCUUCUGAAACUCUUAAUCUAGAAUAUGGGAGAGGUAGAUGGAAUUUCUGGUGUAGGGGUAAAAUCCGUAGAGAUCAGAAGGAAUACCGAUUGCGAAGGCGAUCUACUAGAACAUUAUUGACGCUGAGACGCGAAAGCGUGGGGAGCAAACAGGAUUAGAUACCCUUGUAGUC
rnacentral:rRNA from 1 species